GCCAGGCGUUGUGGCGGGUGCCUGUAGUCCCAGCUACUUGGGAGGCUGAGGCAGGAGACUCGCUUGAGCCCAGGAGUUGGAGGUUGUUGUGAGCUGUGAUGCCAUGGCACUCUAUCCAGGGGGAAAGCUUGAGGCUCCGUCUCAAAAAAAAAAAAAGAGAGAGACAGGGUCUCACUUUAUUGCCCUCCAUAGAGUGCCGUGGCAGCAUCACACAGCUCACAGCAACCUCCAGCUCCUGGGCUCAGGUGAUUCUCUUGCCUCAG
rfam:Otolemur garnettii contig136018, whole genome shotgun sequence.